CCUACGGGAGGCAGCAGUGGGGAAUAUUGCACAAUGGGGGAAACCCUGAUGCAGCGACGCCGCGUGAGUGAAGAAGUAAUUCGUUAUGUAAAGCUCUAUCAGCAGGGAAGAAAAUGACGGUACCUGAGUAAGAAACCCCGGCUAACUACGUGCCAGCAGCCGCGGUAAUAAGUAGGGGGCAAGCGUUAUCCGGAUUUACUGGGUGUAAAGGGAGCGUAGACGGCAGUGCAAGUCUGGAGUGAAAGGCGGGGGCUCAACCCCCGGACUGCUCUGGAAACUGUACGGCUGGAGUGCAGGAGAGGUAAGUGGAAUUCCUAGUGUAGCGGUGAAAUGCGUAGAUAUUAGGAGGAACACCAGUGGCGAAGGCGGCUUACUGGACUGUAACUGACGUUGAGGCUCGAAAGCGUGGGGAGCAAACAGGAUUAGAUACCCUUGUAGUC
rnacentral:rRNA from 1 species